rnacentral:rRNA from 1 species
CCUACGGGUGGCAGCAGUGAGGAAUAUUGGUCAAUGGACGAGAGUCUGAACCAGCCAAGUCGCGUGAAGGAUGACUGCCCUCUGGGUUGUAAACUUCUUUUAUAUGGGAAUAAAACAGGGUAUGCAUACCCUCUUGUAUGUACCAUAUGAAUAAGGAUCGGCUAACUCCGUGCCAGCAGCCGCGGUAAUACGGAGGAUCCGAGCGUUAUCCGGAUUUAUUGGGUUUAAAGGGAGCGUAGGUGGAUUGUUAAGUCAGUUGUGAAAGUUUGCGGCUCAACCGUAAAAUUGCAGUUGAAACUGGCAGGCUUGAGUACAGUAGAGGUGGGCGGAAUUCGGAGUGUAGCGGUGAAAUGCUUAGAUAUCACGAAGAACUCCGAUUGCGAAGGCAGCUCACUGGACUGCAACUGACACUGAUGCUCGAAAGUGUGGGUAGCAAACAGGAUUAGAUACCCCGGUAGUC